UGUCAACAGAGAAACAUGCUUUUUGCAGGUGUCUGCCAGCAGGUAAGUUAUCUACCCAUUUGCCUUGGCAGCACUGCUAUUGUAAAUGAAGCCCUUGAUCUGUCCUCUCGUGUGAACUCCCUGCGGAGGGCAGCGGGCAAAGAUUACACUGUGACAUUCCUGCUGAUUUGGCGUAUUAGCCAUCUGGCAUGCCCUCCUCCUGAAGACACACACGUUUGCACUGGUGGCACCAAACCCACAGCGAUCCAUCUCCCCCCGUGUCCAUUUAGUGCACAGCUGAAAAUGAUGCCCGUU